AUUAAUUUGGCAGAUAAGUGCAAUGGAUUUAGAAUCUGUAUAUGUAAUUUUAUAUUAUAGUUAAUA
rnacentral:tRNA from 1 species